rnacentral:rRNA from 1 species
GACGAACGCUGGCGGCGUGCUUAACACAUGCAAGUCGAACGCUGAAGCCUAGCUUGCUGGGUGGGUGAGUGGCGAACGGGUGAGUAACACGUGAGUAACCUGCCCUCUUCUUUGGGAUAACGCCCGGAAACGGGUGCUAAUACUGGAUAUUCACUGAUUCUCGCAUGGGGGUUGGUGGAAAGGUUUUUUCUGGUGGGGGAUGGGCUCGCGGCCUAUCAGCUUGUUGGUGGGGUGAUGGCCUACCAAGGCUUUGACGGGUAGCCGGCCUGAGAGGGUGACCGGUCACAUUGGGACUGAGAUACGGCCCAGACUCCUACGGGAGGCAGCAGUGGGGAAUAUUGCACAAUGGGCGAAAGCCUGAUGCAGCGACGCCGCGUGAGGGAUGGAGGCCUUCGGGUUGUAAACCUCUUUCGCUCAUGGUCAAGCCGCAACUUAGGGUUGUGGUGAGGGUAGUGGGUAAAGAAGCGCCGGCUAACUACGUGCCAGCAGCCGCGGUAAUACGUAGGGCGCGAGCGUUGUCCGGAAUUAUUGGGCGUAAAGGGCUUGUAGGCGGUUGGUCGCGUCUGCCGUGAAAUCCUCUGGCUUAACUGGGGGCGUGCGGUGGGUACGGGCUGACUUGAGUGCGGUAGGGGAGACUGGAACUCCUGGUGUAGCGGUGGAAUGCGCAGAUAUCAGGAAGAACACCGGUGGCGAAGGCGGGUCUCUGGGCCGUUACUGACGCUGAGGAGCGAAAGCGUGGGGAGCGAACAGG